rnacentral:rRNA from 1 species
GCCAGACUCCUACGGGAGGCAGCAGUGAGGAAUAUUGGUCAAUGGCCGAGAGGCUGAACCAGCCAAGUCGCGUGAAGGAUGACGGCCCUACGGGUUGUAAACUUCUUUUGUCAGGGAGCAAUUGGGUCCACGCGUGGGCUUAGCGAGAGUACCUGAAGAAAAAGCAUCGGCUAACUCCGUGCCAGCAGCCGCGGUAAUACGGAGGAUGCGAGCGUUAUCCGGAUUUAUUGGGUUUAAAGGGUGCGUAGGCGGAAUAUCAAGUCAGCGGUAAAAAUUCGGGGCUCAACCCCGUCGUGCCGUUGAAACUGGGGAUCUAGAGUGUGCGAGAGGUAUGCGGAAUGCGUGGUGUAGCGGUGAAAUGCAUAGAUAUCACGCAGAACCCCGAUUGCGAAGGCAGCAUACCGGUGCACAACUGACGCUCAGGCACGAAAGCGUGGGUAUCGAACAGGAUUAGAUACCCCCGUAAU